UCGCAAUGUGCGAAAGCACGACGAGGUUAUUCCGAGUGAUCUCCGCUGAGGAGAUCUUUUCUCAGAUCUAAAACGUCUGGGGAAUAAGGGGAGGGCAAGUCUGGUGUCAGCCGCCGCGGUAAUACCAGCUCCUCGAGUGGUUAGGGCGUUUAUUGGGCCUAAAGCAUCCGUAGCCGGCUCAGUUGGUCUCCUGUUAAAUCCAACGGCUCAACCGUUGGUCUGCAGGAGAUACCGCUGGGCUAGGAGGCGGGAGAGGCGGACGGUACUCCGAGGGUAGGGGUAAAAUCCUUUGAUCCCCGGAAGACCACCAGUGGCGAAGGCGGUCCGCCAGAACGCGCUCGACGGUGAGGGAUGAAAGCUGGGGGAGCGAACCGG
rnacentral:rRNA from 1 species